GACGAACGCUGGCGGCGUGCUUAACACAUGCAAGUCGAACGGAAAGGCCCCUUCGGGGGUCCUCGAGUGGCGAACAGGUGAGUAACACGUGAGUAACCUGCCCUUGACUUCGGGAUAACUUCAGGAAACUGGGGCUAAUACCGGAUAGGAAUCCUUGCUGCAUGGUGGGGGUUGGAAAGCUUCGGCGGUUUUGGAUGGACUCGCGGCUUAUCAGCUUGUUGGUGGGGUAGUGGCUUACCAAGGCUUUGACGGGUAGCCGGCCUGAGAGGGCGACCGGCCACAUUGGGACUGCGAUACGGCCCAGACUCCUACGGGAGGCAGCAGUGGGGAAUAUUGCACAAUGGGCGGAAGCCUGAUGCAGCAACGCCGCGUGCGGGAUGACGGCCUUCGGGUUGUAAACCGCUUUCAGCAGGGGCGAAGCUUGUGGUGACGGUACCUGCAGAAGAAGCACCGGCUAACUACGUG
rnacentral:rRNA from 1 species